AAGAACGUGGUUUACUUUCUGGAUGCUGAGCGGCUAGCUGCCCGGGUUCCAAUCCUGGAAGCGUUUACCUGCGAGUAAAGGCCCUUGUAUGUGCAGCCAGCGGCACCUGAUAAAGCUGUUGCUAGCUUGCACCAUGGGUGGAGUAUUUGAAAGAGGAGAGAGUCCACACGUGACAUCUGUGCGCUCUUUAGACAUCCGUGCUUCACUUGGCCACUUCUGCUUUGGAGAAAAAGCAGCGAUACUGCCUUGUGGAAUUCCAACUUCCAUGUUAUGCAGAGAGUUCCGAAGGCAAGGGAACCUGUCCAAUACUGUGGUCUAAUGUUGAUGCCAAAAGAAAAGGUCACCAUUCAGCUUCAAAUGAGUCUUUGUUCUUCUUUGUUCCUUUUGCCAGAGUCAGUUUAUGUGACAGUUUCUCUGGUAAGGCAAUUUCCCAGGGUUUAUGAAUUGACAGACCGUCCAGGGAUUUCCAGUGUGUAGCUAUCACCGAUCUGGCUGUUGGCAGCAUAAACCCAAUCAGCUUUUUAUAUUGUCUGAUUCAUCUCUGAAACUUCUCGGUUCUUCCUGAAGUUGGGGGACCGCUUCCACUGGAUUAGAAAGCAUAAGCAGCAUGUCAUCUGCAUAUAGACUUAUUACCUGCUCCUCCUUUGCUACUUUAAUCCCUGACAUUUUACCAUUUCUCCUGAGACUGCUGGCCAGAAAUUCUAUAACUAAGGUAAAGGGCAACCAGCUUUCAGUUGAAUUGCCCUUGAUUCUGUUCCAUUAAAUUUUAUAUUCAUUGUAGAGACAGUAUGAACUGCUUUCAUAGCUGAAAUAAAUUUUGGACCAAAUUUACAA